ACUUUAUUGAAGCUUAAAAACACAGACAGAGACACGAACAGACGCACAACUUAGCUACCGCUAGACUCGAUCCAUUAUUUCUUUAUAUGUCUGAUUUUCUUUUUAUAACGAGGUCAGAUCUUCCUCUGAUCUCAUCAUUUACAAGUGCAAGGGUCGCAAGUACAGUUGUCACCACACUUGCAGCCUCCAUUCUCAGCUCCGAUGCUCAUCUCAGCUCCCUCGAAGUGUGCCUUCUCCGGUGCCACACCGAGAACCAUCGUCUCCGUGGUGGUUUUCUCAGAGAAGCUC
rnacentral:misc_RNA from 1 species